ACAUAUUCAAAUAGCUUGUAACAAUUACAAAUACGCAAAGUGUGUCUUGGAAUCAUCAAAAUUUAUUUAAGGUCAACAAGUACAAAUUGUAAAUAAAAGGUGCAACUAAAGAUUAUGUUUUGCUAAAAAAUUAAAUUUUAUAGAUGUUACUUUUUAACACUUUAAUCUAUUAUAGGAAUUGGGGGAUAAAGAAUACAAUACGAAGAAAAACAGCCCUCGGUUGAUCGUAGUGCUUGGGUACCAAAAGAAAAGAACCCAUCCGAGGAAAGAGACGUCCACGAAGAACACAAUUGCCGAAGAUUUCUUUUCUGCAGAUUUUCCAGAGAGGCACCGAUGCCAAACCAUCCUGUCCAUCCGUAAGUCGCAAAGACCCGAGCCUCGCCGAGCAUCACUAUAUCACAUCGCGAGUAGCCGUUUGAAGUCCAAAUUUUGUUUUUCUUCUUAAUGACGCCCUCGUCUUGGGUGCCGUCUUUCUUUUUGUGCGGGCGUUGGCUUCUUCCCGCACUCCACAACGUGGUUAGGGAAUUGUCCUGGAUCGAUUGAAGACUGCGGGAGCACUCGUUGAUGCUGCUGUCGAAGCUAUCACCAGUGAUGGAUGGACGCAAGUGGGACACUUGGAAACGCCAAGGCAGCAGCGAAGGAGUUGACGGUGAAACACAGCUUUCGAGUGAUGAACAUGACUGAGAGAGAGACCUCCUUUCCCUUCUCUCUCGCUUUCUUCUCUCUAUUGUAUCUCUAUAUAUGUUGACCUUGACUUUUCUCCUCGGCAGCUUUUCCCUUCUUUUUGUAUUGUUUUUGAUUUUCCCCAAAGAAUGAAUGAAGAGCCCCCAAAAACCUUGAAAACGAAGACAAAUUUUUCUCCUUUGUCUUCAAUUUUUGACCUAGAAAACCGAGAAAAGCCCCUU
rnacentral:lncRNA from 1 species